rnacentral:rRNA from 1 species
CCUACGGGGGGCUGCAGUGGGGAAUAUUGCACAAUGGGGGAAACCCUGAUGCAGCGACGCCGCGUGAGUGAAGAAGGCAUUCGUUAUGUAAAGCCUUAUUAGCAGGGAAGAAAAUGACGGUACCUGAGUAAGAAGCCCCGGCUAACUACGUGCCAGCAGCCGCGGUAAUACGGAGGGAGCCAGCGUUAUCCGGAUUUACUGGGCGUAAAGGGAGCGUAGUGGGCUGUGCAAGUCUGGAGUGAAAGGCGGGGGCUCAAACCCCGUACUGCUCUGGAAACCGUCCGGCUGGAGUGCAGGAGAGGUAAGUGGAAUUCGUGGUGUAGCGGUGAAAUGCGUAGAUAUUAGGCGGAACACCGGUGGCGAAGGCGGCUUACUGGACUGUAACUGACGUUGAGGCUCGAAAGCGUGGGGAGCAAACAGGAUUAGAUACCCGAGUAGUC